UAUAGAGGCGUCAUGAUCCGCUAGUAGAAGCAGGGGUCCUGAUGUUUUACCAAUCUCAGAGUGCAAAACACACAAGGCAGAGGACUGUUGGAAACACCUCAUGUGUGGAGAUGCAAGGCUUGGCUCCAUUUUCAGAAGCUUUAAUUUAUAGCAGUUUUGUGGCAGCAGCCAAGAAAACAAGGAUCUGGGAGGAGCAGGCGUGGAAUUCCCAGUCCCUUGGCACCAAAGUUUACACACCACUGCUUUGUCUGGAGCUCAUCGAUCAGCUGGGGUCAGGAGGAGGUUCACCUCUCCAGGGUGUUUGCAUGGCAUUGCUGUGGAAUCUCCUGCAUUCCUUAACACUGUGUGGGAGGACAGGCAUGGAAUUGUGAGGAAUCUGACCAUUUUAUUCCCUCUCCGGCCCGCAGAAAUCACUGUCAAUCCUGGCACCGCUGGGGAGGAGGACACCAAGAUGGAUGAAGGUUUCCCACUGAGAAGAGCCAAGCCUCUCUGGGAACCCCAAGGAGCAAAGUGGAAGGUAUCAGGAGCUAAUGGACUCCUGGCUACACAAAAUCCCUGGAGCUCAGAGGCUUUUGCUGUGCCAGCAGGGAGGUCCCUUUCCUGUGGGAUCAUCUCUUCUCCCUCCCCGCUGGUGCUGAGCCUCUCAACUGAGUUCUUCCCAGUUGGCUCCACUUCCCCCAGCAAGCCACGAGUGUCACUGCUGCUCAGCAACAAAAAGUGGUGAUACAGGUUAUAAAAAUGUUGCAGUAAGUAGAAAAAUCAUAAAGAAAGACUUCGUAAAAUCAGGCCUGCUCUGGCUAGCCUGUCAUUUCUUCUAAGGCACUUUGCAAGUUCCCAUGUGAAAGCAGUCCUGUUGUGAGCAGUUUGUUAGCAUAACAAUCUAUUUCUAGGUGAAAAACAACUGGCACCUGUAUAAACUGUUUUUAUACCAUUAGAUAGGAAAAUGAAAACUAUCUCUCACAAACAACUUUUUCUGCACGUACACCCCGCGGGUUUGAGUGACUAAUCAAUACAGAACAACAACUUGUUACUAACCAAUAAUUGGCAAGAAAGCUACUAAUCCACUGGAGUCACACACAAGGUCUGUAAAACUGUAUAAAAAGGAGUUAUGUGAAUAAAGAAUGGGCUUUUUCCACCAUGAAGAAAAUGGAGUUCCUUGUGAUUUAUUCCCAUAUAAAAACACCAGAAGUGAUGGGAAAGGGGUGUUUCCUCCUGGUGAGACAUCUCCAAGAAGCUCCAUAUAGGAGGGGAUGGUCCAGGAGGCCAACUGGAGCUUCACCAUCCUCCUCUCCUGGGUGGCUUGGCCUGAGGAUUCAGCAGAGAGAGCAGAGCAUCCACAUGAUCUGCCAGGGUGGAUUCAGGCUCCUCUGCUCCAGUCUGCAGCCUAAUUGCUGAGGUGGGACCAGGAAGAGGAGCCUUCUGUUUACUCACAUAGUUUCAAGGUGAGUAACACACGCUGGGCCCAGCUCUGGCUCUGUGGUGCUGUCAGAGUGAGACCUUCCCCUCGCAGCUCCCCCAGCCCCUGGGCUGCCAGGGUGGGCUGGAGAAGCUCUCAAAUGGAAGGGCACAGGGCUUUGAAACCCCUCCUGCACCAUCCCAGAGGGCUGGGGGCCACAGAACUCUCCUCGCCUGGCACUGAGGAUCUCUGUCCUCUUUUCCUCCCCUUCCUCCUUCCUUUUGGCACACAAGGUGCUGCUUUGAUGCCCUCAUGAGACAAAUUUUCCACCGGUAAUAGAUCCUUGUGAUAACAGAUCCUUGUGGUCACCCCCGUGACUGGCUCAUUCUUCCCAGGGGCUAAAUCCUGGUUUCUUCAGCUCCCUUCAGCCACCUUGGGAAAGGGGAUAUCUUGUUUCCUUCAUGACCACCUCUACCAAAUAACCCCCUCCUGCUCAGGCCUGCCAGUCCUGACCCUGCAGCUUGGCUGACCCUUGGCCAGCCUGUCCUCAGGAACUGACUGCUCCCUGACCCUUGGAUGUGGGAUCAACACCUCGCUGAUGGGUUUCCUUCCUCCACAACCACUGGCUGAAGCAGAGGAUCCCAGGAAAACAUCAGACCUCAGAGAAAUCCCACGGAGAAACAUCUUUGGACAUGCUGGAUGCAUUGGAUGGUGCUGGGAUUUGCACAAGAGGCACUAAGCCUGAGUGCAGGGAGCUGCUGGAGCAGGGUUUUGGCAGCAAUGCUGCUGGCCUGUCCCGUUGUAGGAGCUGAGACAGCCG